GAUGAACGCUGGCGGCGUGCCUAAUACAUGCAAGUCGAGCGAACGGACGAUAAGCUUGCUUCUCUGAUGUUAGCGGCGGACGUGUGAGUAACACGUGUAUACCCUCCCUAUCAGUCUGGUAUCACUUCGGGAAACCGGCGCUAAUACCGUAUAAUCUUUUGAACCGCAUUGUUCAAAAGUGAAAGACGGUCUUGCUGUCACUUAUCGAUGCAUCCGCGCUGCAUUAGCUAGUAGGUAAGGUAACGGCUUAUCAAGGCAACGAUGCAUAACCGAACUGAGAGGGUGAUCGGCCGCACUGGAACUGAGACACGGUACAGACGCAUACGGGAGGCAGCAGUAGGGAAUCGUCAGCAAGGGGCGAAAGACUGACGGAGAAACGCCGCGUGAUGGAGGAAGGUCGUCGGAUCGUAAAACUCUGUUAUUAGGGAAGAACAUAUGUGUAAGUAACUGUGCACAUCUUGAAGGUACAUAAUCAGAAAGCCACGGCUAACUAAGUG
rnacentral:rRNA from 1 species